UAUCGAGGGGGCAAGCGUUGUUCGGAAUUACUGUGCGUAAAGCGUGCGCAGGCGGUUUUGUAAGACAGGGGUGAAAUCCCCGGGCUUAACCUGGGAACUGCAUUUGUGACUGCAAGACUAGAGUGUGGCAGAGGGGGGUAGAAUUCCACGUGUAGCAGUGAAAUGCGUAGAUAUGUGGAGGAAUACCGAUGGCGAAGGCAGCCCCCUGGGUCAACACUGACGCUCAUGCACGAAAGCGUGGGGAGCAAACAGG
rnacentral:rRNA from 1 species